CCAGUAGUGAUAAAGACUCAGGCCCUCGAUGAAGUCAUUCAUGUCAUGGUCGAACCGGAUCCACAGGCCGAUAGCGAACACCAACGCCCCGCCGCACUGCAAGAUGGUAGAGGAUGGGACGACGGCAGCAGAAGGGAUGUUUGUUCAUGUGAUGAAUAGGAGAGGAGAGAGAAGUAGAUAGUAAGAUAGAUAGAUAGAAAGAUAGAUAGAUAGAUUUUAAAGCAUGAGAGGAAGGCAGAAGAAAGGGAGCUUGUUGCAGUGAUGAAUGGGAGAGGAGGGAGAGGUAGAUAGGUAGAUAGAUAGAUAGAUAGAUAGAUA